GUAUAUAUAUACGUAGCUGUAAAAGUUCAAGAGGUUUCGUCAUGCUCUUUAAGGAGUGGUUAAGUGCUCUGUGUUGUCUGUUCUGUCAUUCCUGUCUCCUGUACCGGUGCUGAUAACUGAGAUACCAAGAGCCAAGCCAACGUUAUUGCUGGUACUCAUAAGUACUGACCAAUGGCUUGACCUUAACUUCUCUUCAACCAACUGUGGCCUUUUUCACCAAGUCAAACGAUGAGGUGAGCAAAGAUACUACUGUUAGUGCUAGCAGUUUGACAAGUAGCUGCUAAGCAGAUCUGACAAGUAAACUGCAUAUUUCAGUUAUAAGCCCAACAGUGUUUGGACUUUAACGUGGGAUUGCUGACAAAUGAGUAAUUCCCACAAGUUUCCAAUCAUAAAGUUGUGAUUUACUUUUCCUGCAAUCAAAUCAACCAAAACAAAAAAAAAACUUAUCAAAAAGCAAGAGGUUAAAAUUUGGUUAUAUCAAUCACAAUUUUGGAGGAUAAUAAGAAAAAUCAAGGGCUGAUGAAGUUUGAAAAGAAAAUGUACCUGAAUCUCUGAAAUCAUCGAAUGGCUGUGAAUUCCAGUUGCUCCAGAGGCUGUAGUAAAGAGUUUUUUAAUAAUUAUUGUUCACAAUAGAGGUACAGAGAAAAGUCACUCAACGCUCUCAUAAAAACUUGGUGCCAUGUGAUGCUAAUCACACAGUUAAUAAUAAAAAUGAAGUUCAGACUUGCUCAAAGUUAACAAGUGCGCAGCUCAUCAUAUUCCAAACAUAUAGUACAGUUGUGGCAGAUGGUCUUUACAAUUAUUCAAAUGAAGUAAAUUAUGAAGGUUAAGAAAUUUCA